UACAGAGGGGGCAAGCGUUAUUCGGAAUUAUUGGGCGUAAGGGGCGCGUAGGCGGCUUGGCAAGUGGAAGGUGAAAUCCCUCGGCUCAACCGAGGAACUGCCUUCUAAACUGCUUUGAUUGAGUCCGGGAGAGGUCAGUGGAAUUCCCAGUGUAGCGGUGAAAUGCGUAGAUAUUGGGAGGAACACCAGUGGCGAAGGCGGCUGACUGGACCGGUACUGACGCUGAGGCGCGAAAGCGUGGGGAGCAAACGGG
rnacentral:rRNA from 1 species